rnacentral:rRNA from 1 species
CCUACGGGAGGCAGCAGUAAGGAAUAUUGGACAAUGCUCGCAAGAGUGAUCCAGCCAUGCCGCGUGCAGGAAGAAUGCCCUAUGGGUAGUAAACUGCUUUUGAACUAGAGAAAAUCCCAGUACGUGUACUGGGCUGAUAGUAUAGUUAGAAUAAGCAUCGGCUAACUUCGUGCCAGCAGCCGCGGUAAGACGAAGGAUGCAAGCGUUAUCCGGAUUCAUUGGGUUUAAAGGGAGCGUAGGUGGACUGAUAAGUCAGUGGUGAAAUCUCCGAGCUUAACUCGGAAAUUGCCAUUGAUACUGUUGGUCUUGAGUACAGUUGCUGUGGGCGGAAUAUGACAUGUAGUGGUGAAAUACAUAGAGAUGUCAUAGAACACCGAUUGCGAAGGCAGCUCACAAAGCUGUAACUGACACUGAGGCUCGAAAGUGCGGGGAUCAAACGAGAGUAGUAUACCUACGUAGUACGUCNCGUAACCGUACUAGNUACUCGCUNCUAGGGNGGACCUUACGUUGCGUAGU